rnacentral:rRNA from 1 species
UACGUAGGGUGCAAGCGUUAAUCGGAAUUACUGGGCGUAAAGCGUGCGCAGGCGGUUAUGCAAGACAGAUGUGAAAUCCCCGGGCUCAACCUGGGAACUGCAUUUGUGACUGCAUAGCUAGAGUGCGGCAGAGGGAGAUGGAAUUCCGCGUGUAGCAGUGAAAUGCGUAGAUAUGCGGAGGAACACCGAUGGCGAAGGCAAUCUCCUGGGCCUGAACUGACGCUCAUGCACGAAAGCGUGGGGAGCAAACAGG